GAGUUUGAUCAUGGCUCAGGACGAACGCUGGCGGCGUGCCUAAUACAUGCAAGUAGAACGCUGAAGAGAGGAGCUUGCUCUUCUUGGAUGAGUUGCGAACGGGUGAGUAACGCGUAGGUAACCUGCCUUGUAGCGGGGGAUAACUAUUGGAAACGAUAGCUAAUACCGCAUAACAAUAGGUGACACAUGUCAUUUAUUUGAAAGGGGCAAUUGCUCCACUACAAGAUGGACCUGCGUUGUAUUAGCUAGUAGGUGAGGUAACGGCUCACCUAGGCGACGAUACAUAGCCGACCUGAGAGGGUGAUCGGCCAUACUGGGACUGAGACACGGCCCAGACUCCUACGGGAGGCAGCAGUAGGGAAUCUUCGGCAAUGGGGGCAACCCUGACCGAGCAACGCCGCGUGAGUGAAGAAGGUUUUCGGAUCGUAAAGCUCUGUUGUAAGUCAAGAACGAGUGUGAGAGUGGAAAGUUCACACUGUGACGGUAGCUUACCAGAAAGGGACGGCUAACUACGUGCCAGCAGCCGCGGUAAUACGUAGGUCCCGAGCGUUGUCCGGAUUUAUUGGGCGUAAAGCGAGCGCAGGCGGUUUGAUAAGUCUGAAGUUAAAGGCUGUGGCUCAACCAUAGUUCGCUUUGGAAACUGUCAAACUUGAGUGCAGAAGGGGAGAGUGGAAUUCCAUGUGUAGCGGUGAAAUGCGUAGAUAUAUGGAGGAACACCGGUGGCGAAAGCGGCUCUCUGGUCUGUAACUGACGCUGAGGCUCGAAAGCGUGGGGAGCGAACAGGAUUAGAUACCCUGGUAGUCCACGCCGUAAACGAUGAGUGCUAGGUGUUGGGUCCUUUCCGGGAUUCAGUGCCGCAGCUAACGCAUUAAGCACUCCGCCUGGGGAGUACGACCGCAAGGUUGAAACUCAAAGGAAUUGACGGGGGCCCGCACAAGCGGUGGAGCAUGUGGUUUAAUUCGAAGCAACGCGAAGAACCUUACCAGGUCUUGACAUCCCGAUGCUAUUUCUAGAGAUAGAAAGUUACUUCGGUACAUCGGUGACAGGUGGUGCAUGGUUGUCGUCAGCUCGUGUCGUGAGAUGUUGGGUUAAGUCCCGCAACGAGCGCAACCCCUAUUGUUAGUUGCCAUCAUUCAGUUGGGCACUCUAGCGAGACUGCCGGUAAUAAACCGGAGGAAGGUGGGGAUGACGUCAAAUCAUCAUGCCCCUUAUGACCUGGGCUACACACGUGCUACAAUGGUUGGUACAACGAGUUGCGAGUCGGUGACGGCAAGCUAAUCUCUUAAAGCCAAUCUCAGUUCGGAUCGUAGGCUGCAACUCGCCUACAUGAAGUCGGAAUCGCUAGUAAUCGCGGAUCAGCACGCCGCGGUGAAUACGUUCCCGGGCCUUGUACACACCGCCCGUC
rnacentral:rRNA from 1 species